rnacentral:lncRNA from 1 species
GCGGGAGGGUGCCCAGGGCGAGGGCGUGCGAGGGGGAGUGACUCCCUGCGCGAGGGCGUGUGAGAGUGUGUGUGUGUGUGUGUGUGCGCGUAGAGGGGCGCGCGCGUGAGCUGGGGGUGGGGGGCGGGGAGACGAGGCAGAGCCUGGUGCGUCUCCCCGGGCGAGUGGAGGAAUCCUAGGGUGUGCCUGGAGGUGGCGGAGUGUGCCGACGCGGGUGUGAGCGCGUGUGCCGGCGAGGGUGGGCACGGGGUGAGUGUGGCAAGGUGAGCUCAGCUUGGGGGUGAGGACGGAGCGGGGAGUACGGCGUGAGUGUGAGAUUGAGGGCGUGUAUGCUGGGGACCCGGGGAGAGGUGGCAGGGAGCGCCAGUGUGUGCGCGCGUGGGGUGUGUGUGGACCGAGCUGGGUGUCUCUUUCACACCGACUGUCCACGCGACACCAGCACUUGCUUGCGGCGGAGCCCGGCCACCUGGCACGGUGGAACCCGCCACGGCGAAAGCUUUCCGGCUUGCCGCGUCUCUCGGCUUCGUGUGCCUGGGCUGGAGAGGUCCCAGGGGGGACACACACUGCCCUUGCCCCACGUAAGAGCCGCUCUCCUCCCAGAGCGCGAGGGGCACGACCCGAAGGUAGGGAUUCGCUCUCCUAUGCUUCCACGUGUACCCAGUACCCAGAUCCGAGUGUCUGGACUUGGGAGUGUGAACUCUCAACCAGAGUCCGCCCAGUCGUUCGGUCGCUGCCCCGAAACCCAUGGAUACCCACUGCGCGGUGCCUCGGCCCGGAAUGGGGAGCGGGCGGUCAGCACGUGCCCACACGGCCGGCCGGGCAGAUGGAGCCCCGGAGCAUCCCCGGAGAGUGGUAUCCGGUCCAGACUCCCGCACUCCCGGCCGCGGCGCGCUGAGGGUUCAGUCUCCGCAGACCGUGCCGACCGGCGGCUCCAGCUUUCCCCGUGUCUCCGGCUUCUGUGCCCGGAAUCCCAGGAUCUCGGCCUGGCGCUCGGGCGGCGAGGCGGCUCCGCGCCUCAGCAGGGACCGGAACGCAGGGCUUCAGCGAUCACAGUUCUGGGUGUGGAGAGAUCUCAGAUCAGAGACCCUGAGACACUAUGA